AACGAACGCUGGCGGCAGGCCUAACACAUGCAAGUCGAGCGAGGACUUCGGUUCUAGCGGCGGACGCGUGAGUAACGCGUGGGAAUGUGCCCUUCUCUACGGAAUAGCCCGGGGAAACAGGGCGUAAUACCGUAUACGCUCUCGCGUGGGUAGGUUUGUCGGAGAAGGAUCAGCUCGCGUGGGAUUAGGUGGUUGGUGGGGUAAUGGCCUACAAAUCCGUGGAUGCAUAGCUGGUUUGAGAGGAUGAGCAGCGACACUGGGACUGAGGCACGGCCCAGACUACUACGCGAGGGAGGAGAGGGGGAUCUUAGACAAUGGGGGCAAUCCUGAUCUAGCCAUGACGGGUGAGUGAUGAAGGCCGUAGGGUUGUAAAGCUCUUUCAGCUGGGAAGAUAAUGACGGUACCAGCAGAAGAAGCCCCGGCUAACUCCGUG
rnacentral:rRNA from 1 species